rnacentral:rRNA from 1 species
AGUGAACGCUGGCGGUAGGCCUAACACAUGCAAGUCGAGCGGCAGCACAGUAAGAGCUUGCUCUUACGGGUGGCGAGUGGCGGACGGGUGCGGAAUACAUCGGAAUCUACUUUUUCUUGGGGGAUAACGUAGGGACACUUACGCUAAUACCGCAUACGACCUACGGGUGAAAGCAGGGGAUCUUCGGCCCUUGCGCGAUUGAAUGAGCCGAUGUCGGAUUAGCUAGUUGGCGGGGUAAAGGCCCACCAAGGCGACGAUCCGUAGCUGGUCUGAGAGGAUGAUCAGCCACACUGGAACUGAGACACGGUCCAGACUCCUACGGGAGGCAGCAGUGGGGAAUAUUGGACAAUGGGCGCAAGCCUGAUCCAGCCAUACCGCGUGUGUGAAGAAGGUCUUCGGGUUGUAAAGCCCUUUUGUUGGGAAAGAAAAGCAGCAGGUUAAUACCCCGCUGUUCUGACGGUACCCAAAGAAUAAGCACCGGCUAACUUCGUG